GACGAACGCUGGCGGCGUGCUUAACACAUGCAAGUCGAACGGAAAGGCCCUGCUUUUGUGGGGUGCUCGAGUGGCGAACAGGUGAGUAACACGUGAGUAACCUGCCCUUGACUUUGGGAUAACUUCAGGAAACUGGGGCUAAUACCGGAUAGGAGCUCCUGCUGCAUGGUGGGGGUUGGAAAGUUUCGGCGGUUGGGGAUGGACUCGCGGCUUAUCAGCUUGUUGGUGGGGUAGUGGCUUACCAAGGCUUUGACGGGUAGCCGGCCUGAGAGGGUGACCGGCCACAUUGGGACUGAGAUACGGCCCAGACUCCUACGGGAGGCAGCAGUGGGGAAUAUUGCACAAUGGGCGGAAGCCUGAUGCAGCAACGCCGCGUGCGGGAUGACGGCCUUCGGGUUGUAAACCGCUUUCGCCUGUGGCGAAGCGUGAGUGACGGUAAUGGGUAAAGAAGCACCGGCUAACUACGUG
rnacentral:rRNA from 1 species